rnacentral:misc_RNA from 1 species
UAAGGGAAUAUGAAUUUUGCAUUUGAUAAAUGUACCAUCAUAAGUUUCGCGGCUUUAUAUUUUGAUAUGAAAUAUCAAGAAAUAAAUUGUGUCCUAAAACUCCAAAAGAGUGUAACCCCUCAGUAAUGGACUCGUAUUCUGAUGAAACAAGAUGGCUCCAAAGGGGAAAACAAGCCAACGUGAGGACUUGAAACAAGAAGAUAUCUUACAAGCUGUAGUAAUCGCUGACAGUUUCAAUGUUCGAUUUGGUCCCGUAACAGAAAGACGUCCACGGACGCUGCUACCGCUGGUGAAUGUUCCGCUGCUGGACUACACACUGGAGUUCCUGUACGCAGCAGGGGUCCAGGAGGUUUUCGUGUUCUGCUGCCAUCUGGCUGACCAGAUCAGGACACACAUCAAGAAUUCCAAAUGGAAUGAUAGUAGCUCGCCUAUGCAGGUCAGCCCAAUACUGUCUGAUGGAUGCAUGUCAGUGGGCGACGCUCUUCGAGAGAUCGACAGCAAGUCUCUUGUCAGGAGUGACUUCAUCCUCGUUUCAGGAGACAUCAUUGCUAACAUCAACCUGAAGAAAAUACUAGAAGAGCACAAGAAACGACGGGAAAAGGACAAGUCGAGUGUGAUGACACUGGUGUGCAAGAAGGCCCCGCCGGGACACCGUACACGCUGUAGCGAGGAUGAAAUCCUUGUUGCAGUGGAAAGUGACACUAACAGGGUUCUGCAUUAUCAAAAGGCGUACCAACAAAACAAGUUCCAUAUACCAGUGAGUGUGUUUGUGGAGCACACGGACGUAGAUGUGCGGUAUGACAUGCUAGAUUCCCAGGUGUGCAUCUGCACACCCCUCGUACCACAACUCUACACAGACAACUUUGACUACCAAUCUCGGGAUGACUUUGUCCGCGGAAUUCUCAUAAGUGAAGAGAUUCUGGGAAACACAAUUCACCUGGCUGUUGUUAGGGAUGAGUAUGCUGCUCGAAUUUCCAACCUGCAGAUGUAUGAUGCAGUCAGCCUUGACGUGAUGAAUCGCUGGACGUAUCCCCUGGUGCCUGAUGGCUACAUGACAUGCCUGGGCCGUGACGUCAUGUCGUACGGGCGACACAAUGUGUAUCUCAGUAAAGACAUCACAUUAGCCAGAGGCUGUGUCUUGGCCGAGAACGUUGUGAUUGGAAGCGGGACUUCAGUUGGGAAUAAUACAAACAUAAGCAACUCGGUUAUAGGAAAAAACUGUCAGAUAGGUGAGAAUGUAAAGAUAGCUGGCAGCUACCUGUGGGAUGGGGUGGUCGUGGAGGACAACUGUGUCAUCGAGACAGCCCUCCUCUGCAGCAAUGUCAGCGUCCACAAGGAAGUUACAAUCCAACCUGGAGCCGUCCUUGCGUGGGAGGUGAAAGUCGGACCCUCCGUGACUCUGCCAGCUGGUUGUCAGCUGAUCAGUAAGCCUCAGGUGGAUGAAUUUGCUGAUGAAGAGGAAACUCCCCCGGAGCCUGAUGUAACAACAGAGUUUGGAAGUCAGAGCAAAGCAUUUGUGUACCGAGCAAGCUGUGACUCGGAUGAUGAGGAUGAGGAUUUGGUCCAGGACAUGUGGGGGCUCACUGUCCACUCUGAGGAGGAGGACGACGACAUCAGCAGCAUCGACAGCGACGUCACGGACCAGGACGACAUUUCUCCCUCGGGCAGCCCGAUACCAGACGACGCUGGAACCUUGAUGCAUGGUGCCGCCGGUGUUUGCUUCUUGUGGCUGAUGUUCCUCCUUCGUCACCUUCCUCUUCUCAUCUUCCUCGGGCUCAUUCUCAGCUUCCUUUCGGUCACCAUGGAAACAGUCAUUCUGCUGAACAAUUCUUGGAAUUUGUUUGGUUGUUAGUGUGGUGAUGUGUUCAGACCUCGUUUGUGUGUUCAGUCUUGUGAAGUGAAUGAACAAGGGGAUGUCUCACAGUGUGUUGCGUCAAGAUUGGUAUGGAGGAUGUCAUAAGAUUGUCAGAAUGUGGUUGCCAUGGUUACACUGUUUUGAGAGAUGACUAUUGCCAUGACAACAGUUGCAGGAUUUCUACUCCGAAGUGAUCGACACCCUGAUACGAGCCAAGGAAGAUAA